UACGGGGGGGGUAAGCGUUGUUCGGAAUUACUGGGCGUAAAGGGCUCGUAGGCGGCCAACUAAGUCAUACGUGAAAUCCCUCAGCUUAACUGGGGAACUGCGUGUGAUACUGGAUGGCUUGGAUUUGGGAGAGGGAUGCGGAAUUCCAGGUGUAGCGGUGAAAUGCGUAGAUAUCUGGAGGAACACCGGUGGCGAAAGCGGCGCACUGGACCAUAACUGACGCUGAGGCGCGAAAGCUAGGGGAGCAAACAGG
rnacentral:rRNA from 1 species